rnacentral:rRNA from 1 species
GACGAACGCUGGCGGCGUGCUUAACACAUGCAAGUCGAACGGAAAGGCCCUGCUUUUGUGGGGUGCACGAGUGGCGAACGGGUGAGUAACACGUGAGUAACCUGCCCUUGACUUUGGGAUAACUUCAGGAAACUGGGGCUCAUACAGGAUAGGAGCUCCUGCUGCAUGGUGGGGGAUGGAAAGUUUCGGCGGUUGGGGAUGGACUCGCGGCUUAUCCGCUUGUUGGGGGGGUAGUGGCUUACCAAGGCUGUGAAGGGUAGCCGGCCUGAGAGGGUGACCGGGCACAUGGGGACUGAGAUACGGCCCAGACGGCUACGGGAGGCAGCAGUGGGGAGUAUUGCACAGUGAGCGGAAGCCUGAGGCAGCGACGCCGCGUGCGGGAUGACGGCUUUCGGGUUAUAAACCGCUGUGGCCGGUGACGAAGCGUGAGUGACGGUAAUGGGUAAAGAAGCACCGGCUAACUACGUG